GACGAACGCUGGCGGCGUGCUUAACACAUGCAAGUCGAACGGAAAGGCCCUGCUUUUGUGGGGUGCUCGAGUGGCGAACGGGUGAGUAACACGUGAGUAACCUGCCCUUGACUUUGGGAUAACUUCAGGAAACUGGGGCUAAUACCGGAUAGGAGCUCCUGCUGCAUGGUGGGGGUUGGAAAGUUUCGGCGGUUGGGGAUGGACUCGCGGCUUAUCAGCUUGUUGGUGGGGUAGUGGCUUACCAAGGCUUUGACGGGUAGCCGGCCUGAGAGGGUGACCGGCCACAUUGGGACUGAGAUACGGCCCAGACUCCUACGGGAGGCAACAGUGGGGAAUAAUGCACAAUGGGCGGAAGCCAGAUGCAGCAACGCCUCGUGCGGGAUGACGGCCUUCGGGUUGGAAACCGCGUUCGCCUGUGACGAAGCGUGAGUGACGGUAAUGGGUAAAGAAGCACCGGCUAACUACGU
rnacentral:rRNA from 1 species